UACAGAGGGUGCAAGCGUUAAUCGGAUUUACUGGGCGUAAAGCGUGCGUAGGCGGUUCAUUAAGUCGGUUGUGAAAUCCCUGGGCUUAACCUGGGGACUGCAGUCGAUACUGGUGAACUAGAAUGCGGUAGAGGGUGGCGGAACUCCGGGUGUAGCGGUGAAAUUCGUAGAUAUCAAGCGGAACACCGGUGGCGAAGGCGGCCUUCUGGACAGUGACUGACGCUGAGACGCGAAAGCGUGGGGAGCAAACAGG
rnacentral:rRNA from 1 species